ACCAAGGAAUCUGGAAGAGAACACUUCGGAGUCCGAGACUGAACGAUAGGGUGGAAUCUGGCCAAUUCUAUCCCAGACUCGCGAACGCCCACCGAUAUCCAAAACCCAGGGCGACCCCUCCGUAUCCCGAACGAGUGAUCUCUCCCAGGGGAGCGAAUAACUGCAGUAUCUGAAACAGCUUUAAGAAAACUGAGCCUCACUGUCAAUCCAUUGCCGGGCAUGCUUUUCUGACAUCAUUCAUUGAGCGCCCCGCCAACCAGAGCUGGCAGGAACUAAUCAAUCAUUUUUUCUGUGGUUCCAGCGAGUCCUGUGCUCUCACUUCUUGUUUCUGGCAAGUCAAGAGCUCCCCAUGUGUUCUCAUCUGUUACCCAGGCAUUGCCAUACCUGCCUGCCUGUGUGAAAGUGGCUCAGCUGCUGGCUCUGGAUGAGGCUAACAGAUCACAUCUAUCUCCCUGGCAUCUACUGAGUGUGCAGGGCUGCAAGGAUCAAGCCCCGGACAAGAACACAAAAGUAGGCAACUUAUAAGAACAAAGGAAAGUACCCACAAAAAGAAUGGAGGUUGACUGAUGACCCAGACACCAACCAAAGGCAACAUAGGCGAUUGGAGGAGCUGGAGCCUGGCAAUGGGGAGUACAAAACAGAAAAUAUGAUCCAUUUCUCACCCCCUUUUUUCCUCUUGUUGAGGCUUCCUUUCUUUGUUCCUUAAUUAAUAUUAAUGCUUUUCAGUCGGUGCAACUACACAUGAAAUCAGUGUACCUGAAUAAACUCCAGUGCAGUUCAUGCCACAGUUUAUUGCUUCUGGUUGCAGCAUUUACACAUGCACCCAUGACCACAGCACCUAGCUGGCAGACAGCCUCUAUACUGUAGCACCCU